rnacentral:pre_miRNA from 1 species
AUCUUUAUGAAGGAGAAGCAGGGCACAUCCAAUUAUUAUGAUUUGGGUUAUUGAUAUGUAAAAUAAAGUUUUUUGUCAUAAUAAUUGGAUGUGCCCUGCUUCUCCUUCAUAAUGUU